CUUGAACGGUGAAGCCCAGUCUUGCUGGGUGGAUCAGUGGCGAACGGGUGAGUAACACGUGAGCAAUCUGCCCCUGACUCUGGGAUAAGCGCUGGAAACGGCGUCUAAUACUGGAUAGAACCGUGGAGGCAUCUUCAACGGUUGGAAAGAUUUUUUGGUCAGGGAUGAGCUCGCGGCCUAUCAGCUUGUUGGUGAGGUAAUGGCUCACCAAGGCGUCGACGGGUAGCCGGCCUGAGAGGGUGACCGGCCACACUGGGACUGAGACACGGCCCAGACUCCUACGGGAGGCAGCAGUGGGGAAUAUUGCACAAUGGGCGCAAGCCUGAUGCAGCAACGCCGCGUGAGGGAUGACGGCCUUCGGGUUGUAAACCUCUUUUAGCAGGGAAGAAGCGAAAGUGACGGUACCUGCAGAAAAAGCGCCGGCUAACUACGUGCCAGCAGCCGCGGUAAUACGUAGGGCGCAAGCGUUAUCCGGAAUUAUUGGGCGUAAAGAGCUCGUAGGCGGUUUGUCGCGUCUGCUGUGAAAUCCCGAGGCUCAACUUCGGGUCUGCAGUGGGUACGGGCAGACUAGAGUGCGGUAGGGGAGAUUGGAAUUCCUGGUGUAGCGGUGGAAUGCGCAGAUAUCAGGAGGAACACCGAUGGCGAAGGCAGAUCUCUGGGCCGUAACUGACGCUGAGGAGCGAAAGGGUGGGGAGCAAACAGGCUUAGAUACCCUGGUAGUCCACCCCGUAAACGUUGGGAACUAGUUGUGGGGUCCAUUCCACGGAUUCCGUGACGCAC
rnacentral:rRNA from 1 species